UGGAAAGAUGCAUGAGAGGUAAAUGGCCGCACUGCUAAUGCGAGGUAAGGUUAACGCCUUCGUGGGUUCGAUCCCCACUCUUUCCGU
rnacentral:tRNA from 1 species